UUUUCUUUUUUCUUUUUUUUUUUUUUUUUUAGUUUUUUGGUUGUGUUUUGGAUAAUGGGUUUUGCUUUUUGUUCAUGGGUUUUGUGUAAAAUUUGUUCAUUUGUAUAUUCUCUGAUUAAAAUUUCCAUUUUUGGGUAAUUUGGAGCUGUUAAUUUACCUAUUUCUUCACAUCGAUUAAAAGUAAUGGAUGACGAAAGAAGAAAUGUUUUGCGAUUCGUUAAGGCUCAUGAAGUUAAAAGUAUUGAGUUUGCGAUUCAUUAAUGCCGAGGUGUGUAAUUUAGAUGACAAAAGAGGAAAUGUUUUGCGAUUUGUUAAUGCCGAGGUGUGUAAUUUGUUAAGGCUCAUGUUUUGCGAUUCCGAGGCUCAUGAAGUUAAAAGUAUUGAGUUUGCUUUGUUUUGGUUGGUUUUUGGAUUGGAAUUGGGUUGUUGUUAUUUGGUUUUACUGAAAUUGAUACGAACAACAUAAGUUACUGCUAAGUGCUCAGUAAGUUUCUAUAUCCUCCCUGUGUAGGCAUCCUGCUCUAUUGCUCAUACUUAUAUAUUUCCUUCUAUUUUUCUCCUGGCCUUCGAAAUGUUUCCCUUUUAGGUGCUUCUUAUAUUUAUAGGUGCUUACUGCUUAGUAAUUAAUUUGAUUGAGACUUGAGACUCUGUAGUGAAUUACCCAGACUUGAGACUCUGGAGUUUGGGUUGGAUGUUUAUUGUUUUCCUCUAUUACAUUGAACUUUUUUUAUCACUUGGAAGAUUUUGUUGUUUUUCCUCAGCAAUACAAUAUACGCUUACACACUUAUGCAGCACAUGCACUCGCACACAUUGUUGUUUUUCCUUAUUUGAUUAUUGGGAUGCCAAGCUUUAAGAAUUUGUGUUUAAUUUGAUUCUUUGGUAUACUCAGUUAAUUAAGGUUGUUCUUAACUUUUUGUUUCCUGAUUGAAUUUGUUUUGAUUCAAUUGGGUUUGUGAGCUAAAUUGCAAAAGGGUAGGGGGUGGUUUGAUUUCCGAAUGGCUCUUAUGGGUUGUGUAUGAGGCUAGAGGAUUUGAACUAAACCAUGCAACGGACAUUCAUAAUAAUGUAUGGAUAUUGAUGAAGAGAACAAUGAGGCUACAAUCAAUCUAAGUGAUACACAAGGUACAACAAGUGCACCAAGUCUUUCAAAGAGAAAGGCUAAAGGUAUACGAGUAGGAAUUUGAUAAUAUUUACCAAGAUGGGUCAAGUUCAGUUGAAAAAAUUGAAUUACAUCUAUAUCUUGAAGAAAAGAGACUCGAUAGAAAACAAGAGUUGGAUAUUCUUUCAUGGUGGAAACUGGAGCAAUUUCGUUAUCUCGUAUGGCUUCUGAUGUCUUAACAAUUCCUAUCUCAACUGUUGCCUCGGAAUCAGCAUUUAGUAUUAGUGGUAGGGUGCUUGAUCAAUAUCGAAGUUUUUUGUUGCCUAAAACCGUUCAAGCCUUGCUAUGUACUAGAGAUUGGUUUUUUGGCAAAGAAGCUUUAGAGAAAGAGGGUGCUGACUUAGAAGAACUCACUGAAGAAAUUUUUGACAUGAGCCUUAACGAAAACUCGGGACAAUGCUCCAAUAGUAUUAGUCUUGAUUAAGCAUGGAAAUUUCACUUAAGGUGAAUGUUAAGGGCAAAAAAGAAGCAGAGGAUGCAAUGCAAGAAGAAGGUUGGCAAAAAAGUAGCAGAGAAUGCAAUCAUGCAAUGCAAGAAAAAUAGAGCCACUGUAGACUCUGUAGUGAGACAUUGAUUGAGAGUUGGGAAAGAGAAUUACUGUGGUUUACUUAAACAAUUUCCUGAUCUAUGUUAAGAUUCUGAGACACAUGUAAUUGAUCUAUGUUUUAAUUUAAUCAGUUUUAUCCA